CCUGGCAACUGGAGCAAUCAGGGCGCCGCAGCGAGGGAGAUGCUGGCGAGGCGGCAGCGCGAUCCUCUCCAGGCGCUGCGGCGCCGCAAUCAGGAGCUGAAGCAACAGGUUGAUAGUUUGCUUUCUGAGAGCCAACUGAAAGAAGCAGCCCUAGAACCCAAUAAAAGACAAGAUAUUUAUCAAAGAUGUAUCCAGUUAAAGCAGGCAAUAGAUGAAAAUAAAAAUGCUCUUCAAAAAUUAAGCAAAGCUGAUGAAUCUGCACCUGUUGCAAACUAUAACCAGAGAAAAGAAGAGGAGCAUACUCUUUUGGACAAGCUUACCCAACAACUGCAGGGCCUUGCUGUGACAAUAAGUAGAAAAAAUAUAACUGAAGUUGGGGCACCUACUGAACAAGAGGAAGAAAGUGAAAGUCAAGAAAGUGAAGACAGUGGUGAGGAGGAAGAAGAUACAGAGGAGGAAGAGGAAGAGAAAGAGGAAAAUGAAUAUCACAAACAGUCAACCAGUGAAGAAUACAUCGCUGUUGGAGAUUUCACUGCUCAGCAAGCUGGAGAUCUUACAUUUAAGAAAGGGGAAAUUCUCCUUGUAAUUGAAAAAAAACCUGAUGGUUGGUGGAUAGCUAAGGAUGCCAAAGGAAAUGAAGGUCUCGUUCCCAGAACCUACCUAGAGCCGUAUAGUGAAGAAGAAGAAGAAGGCCAAGAAUCAGUUGAAGAGGGCAGUGAAGAAGAUGUAGAGGUGGUGGAUGAAACAGCAGAUGGAGCAGAAGUUAAGCAAAGAACUGAUUCCCGCCGGAGUGCUGUUCAAAAAGCGAUCUCAGAGCAGAUAAACACUGUUGAUGUGUUAACCACGAUGGGAGCUAUUCCUGCAGGGUUCAGGCCUUCCACACUCUCGCAGCUUCUGGAGGAAGGGAAUCAAUUUCGAGCAAGUUACUUCCUACAACCAGAGCUCAUGCCUUCCCAACUGGCCUUCAGAGAUCUGAUGUGGGAUGCUGCAGAAGGCACUAUUAGAUCAAGACCAAGUCGUAUUUCAUUGAUUCUGACAUUAUGGAGCUGUAAAAUGAUUCCUCUUCCAGGAAUGAGCAUACAGGUUCUCAGCAGACAUGUACGCCUCUGUCUAUUUGAUGGUAAUAAGGUUCUGAGCAACAUUCAUACAGUCAGAGCCACAUGGCAGUCUACAAAGCCCAAAACAUGGACCUUUUCUUCCCAGGUUAGUCGCAUCUUGCCUUGUUUGCUUGAUGGUGAUUGCUUUAUCAGGUCCAAUUCUGCAUCUCCAGAUAUUGGAAUAUUAUUUGAACUUGGAAUUUCUUAUAUUCGCAAUUCGACUGGAGAAAGAGGAGAGUUAAGUUGUGGCUGGGUGUUUCUUCAACUUUUUGAUGCUGGUGGAGUUCCUAUUCCAGCAAAAACUUAUGUGCUUUUCUUGAAUGGUGGUACUCCUUAUGAAAAAGGUGUUGACGUGGACCCUUCAGUAUCCAGAAGAGCACAUGGCAGUGUUUUCUACCAGAUGAUGGCAAUGAGAAGGCAGCCUCAACUUCUACUGAAACUGAGAUCCUUGAACAGAAGAUCCAGAAAUGUACUAAGUCUACUGCCAGAAACAUUAAUUGGAAGUAUGUGUUCUGUUCACUUGUUGAUAUUUUAUCGACAAAUUCUUGGAGAUGUGCUCCUGAAAGACAGGAUGAGCUUGCAAAGUACUGAUUUAAUUAGCCAUCCCAUGCUGGCCACCUUCCCCAUGCUCUUGGAGCAGCCUGACGUGAUGGAUGCCCUCAGGAGUUCAUGGGCUGAAAAAGAAAGUAUGUUAAAAAGAUCAGAGAAGCUCUCAAAGCCUGUAUCAGGUAGAGAGAAGGAAAAAAAAAUGGCCUGAGCUGUACCAUAUAUUGAAAACAAUGCAUUGCUCCUGCUUACAUUGCUAUAAAAUCAUGGUCAUUACCAAUCUGAACUUGCUUUAAUCAAGAGACAAAGAGUUCCUGAAGUCCACGUUUCUCCUGGUUUACCACGACUGCGUGCUCCCACUUCUCCACUCCACACGCCUACCCCCAUUCAGGUGGGCAGACGAAGAGUCUGAGACUGCACGAGGGAAAGUUAUCACUGACUUCCUUAAGCAAAACCAAGAAAACCAGGGUGCCCUCCAAGCUCUGCUGUCGCCAGACGGACUUCACGAACCUUUUGACCUUUCAGAGCAGACCUAUGACUUCUUGGGUGAAAUGAGAAAGAAUGCAGUGUGACAGUGGCAGCCUCUAGCCCUCAGCUUCCCACGGAAUCAGAUGGAUCCUCCACGAUUACGUGAAUAAAAUGAUGGAACCAAAAAUCACUGUCACUUUACAACUUAGGUUUUACUCUUUUCUUUCUACGGACCAU